rnacentral:lncRNA from 1 species
CUUCAGGUGACAGAGCUAGAAGAGUGGGAAUUCCUAAGACAUUGUGGCUAAGGCAAUAUCAUCAUAACCUCAAGUUGCUGAACAAGAAACUCUAAGACCUUGUAAUCCAAGAGGAUCUUUCCAGAUGCAUUUAUGUCCAACAUUUUUAUAAUUUAUGGAUGAUUCUGGAUGACUAUGAGAACCCUGCCCUGCUGGAGCUAAACCUGUGCAUUCAGAUGGAGAACUCUCAGGUCCAUCUCCAGCACCACAUCUGCCUGCCUGCCACCAAGCUUCCUGACAUGAUGUCAAUGGACUAAACCUCUGAAACUGUAAGCCAGCUCCAAUUAAAUGCUUUCCUUUAUCAGAGUUGCCGUGGUCAUGGUGUCUCUUCACAGCAAUAGAACACUGACACCUACAAUCAGGAAAAAAAAAUGAUUGCUAUCAACUAGAAUAGAAGAUGAGCAAUAGGCAAAUGAGAAAUGUGAAUAGAUAAAAAUUAUCUGAAAACAUGGUCAAAUCCAGCAAACACCAAGUCAGGUGCUGUAAUCUGCAAGAAGAAGCUGUGGGGAUGAGAAAAGCAGCUCUGUCUGAGAGGAUGGUGCAGAGGGCAUGUGGUAGAGUCUCGCUGACAGGUAGCUUUCUGCAUCCUUCUGUCCUCCUUGGCACUGAGCCUUUCCCAGACCUUCAAGAGAUGUGAAGAGAAACUCUCUACUCUUUAUGUUGGCGCACUUCGAUCUCCUGUAACCACGUCGUGUAUGUCCACAGUAAUUAUUUUCAUGUAAAAAAAUGCAGAGAACUGUGGCCACCUCAGUUUUUUCUAAAUUCAUUUUCAUCGUAUGCUGAAAGUAUUAUUUUAUUCGUGGCAUGCCCAGUGAAAAUGCUCACGUGAAGAUAUAUAGAUGUGAAUAAACCCCCUGAUGCACACUGCCUUACAAAUACGAGCACUCUGAACUUUGAAAGUCCAUUAAGAUGAUCUCUUAGACCUAUCAAGUAUUUCAUAAAAUUUUAAAAUGCUAAUUCCUUGUUUAAAAAAACCACUCAUUAGAGUCAUAAGAUAAAGAUUUCAUUAAGUUACAAAAUGUAAUGUAAUAGACAUAGAUUUUGAUAGAAAUUUCCUUCCAAACAAGUCAAGUUCGAAGUAAAUACAUGUUAGUUGUAGCAAAUAUACCCUAAUUAUAAUUUUGUCUCUUUGUGUAACAGUCAUAGUUAACAUAAAAAUCAUAUGAUUUCUGUUUCAAAAUGUUUUACAAAACGUAUAACACUGCUAAAUGUAAGGUUUUGAUUGGGGUUGGAUGACAUGAAAAAUAAUAUGUAUAAAUGUCUGCUAAAGGUCUUGGAGUCAUUUCCUUUUCUCAGUGUAAAUGACAGGAAUUGUAAAUCCCAAACGAGAGUAAUGUUCAAGGCCUUGAUAUCUAAAAUCUACCUCGCAUGUGAUUACAUAAAUGUGCACUGCCUGCAUGUGCACCAAACUGGCUUCUGCAUAAGUGUUCUUGUAAACUAAAGCCAUUAAACUGGUA